rnacentral:tRNA from 1 species
UCCUUGGUGGUCCAGUGGUUGAGACUCUGUGCUUCCAAUGCAGGGGACUUGGGUUCAAUCCCUGGUUGGGGAA